rnacentral:rRNA from 1 species
UACGAGCCGUGCGAGCGUUAUUCGGAAUCAUUGGGCUUAAAGGGCGCGUAGGCGGCGGUGUAAGUUGGAAGUGAAAUCCCAUCGGCUCAACCGUGGAAUUGCUCCCAGUACUGCAUCGCUCGAGGGGGAUAGGGGUUUGCGGAACUACCGGUGGAGCGGUGAAAUGUGUUGAUAUCGGUGGGAACGCCAGUGGCGAAAGCGGCAAACUUGACCCUUCCUGACGCUGAGGCGCGAAAGCUAGGGGAGCAAACGGG